rnacentral:rRNA from 1 species
AAAGCACUCUGAAGAGAGAGUUAAAUAGUACGUAAAACCGUACAGAAGAAAACGAAUGGCCGCAUUCAUCAGAUUACUUUGGAUUCAAUUCGAUUUCUAUAUGAUGGUAAUACAUGUUGAUUUGGAACUUCAACAGUCCAUUGAUAUGUUCUUGCCUAGAAUCGGAUGCAUUUUCAAAGUAUUAACUGAACCUGGAUCUAUAACAUUACAGCUAGUCGAAUCAGUCUAUUUUGGUAGCGACUUUUAGUCGUGUUAAAAAUAUGACUUGCAUAAAUAACAAAUUCGACUUGGCGUUAUAGGUAAACUGACGUGUUCUUUGAUUUCAGUACUUUCGAGUACGGCACGCCAUGAGCAUUGUUUGUGUUACAUGAGUAACUAAUAUCUAAACAAUAUUAGUUUUAUUCAUUGUCAAUGCCUAAUGUUUUGUGGCUGUCAAUGAAAUCGGCAAGUCAACAGGAGUUUUGAAUGCCGAGUUAUUCGACCCGUCUUGAAACACGGUCUAAGGAGUUCACUGCAUGUGCAAGAGUUCGGCUGUAUGAAAAGCCUUGCUCGUAAUGAAAGUAAAGAACAUUCUUGCAAUGUUUGAAGUGUGAUUUCUGUCAUCUGGUGCAAAUCAUGACAAUGAACGCAACACUGACAGGUUCUAUUGCCGCUGGCAAAGAGCUUAGUAAGAGUAUAUGCAAUGAGACCCGAAAGAUGGUGAACUUAACGUGUGUAGAAUGAAGCCAGGGGAAACCCUGGUGGAAGUUCGUAGCGGUUCUGACGUGCAAAUCGAUCGUCAAACAUGCGUUAAGGGGCGAAAGACUAAUCGAACCAUCUAGUAGCUGGUUCCGUCCGAAGUUUCCCUCAGGAUAGCUGGCAUUCAAUUUUCACAGUUAUAUCCGGUAAAGCGAAUGUUUAGAGGCAUUGGGCGUAAAAUACGCUCAACCUAUUGACAAACUUUAAAUGGGUAUGAAGUUCAUUUUUCUACUUCAUUGAGAAUGAACAGCGAAUGUGAGUGCCAAGUGGGCCAUUUUUGGUAAGCAGAACUGGCGCUGUUGGAUGCACAAAACGUCAAGAUAAAGAGCCAGAUGGUCUCGCUCAUCAGAUACCAUAAAAGGUGUUGGUCGAUAUAGACAGCAGGACGGUGGCCAUGGAAGUCGGAAUCCGUUAAGGAGUGUGUAACAACUCACCUGCCGAAUCGACUAGUCCUAAAAAUGGAUGGCGCUCGAGCGAGCCUCUUAUACUUGACUGUUACGAUACAACAAGCCAUUAACGGACAUCAUGUCGUAACAAGUAGGACGGUUGAUAUGGUUGCGUCGAAGGCUAACACGUGAGUGUGGCUUGAGCAGUCAUAUGUACAGAUCUUAGUGGUAGUAGCAACUAUUCAAAUGAGAACUUUGAAGACUGACGUGGAGAAAGGUUCCAUGUGAACAGCUAUUGGACAUGGGUCAGUCAGUCCUAAGAUGCGCUCGAAAGAGGGUUCCGAACGAGGAAUAUCUAUAUUCAUAUCAUAUUUAUAUUCCAUCAAAUCGAAAGGGAAACAAGUUAAUAUUCUUGUACUAAGUGUCGGAGAUUGUUUGAUUUCGUGUCAAACAUAUGUGGUAACACAAACAAGCUCAAAUACAUCACAAGUGGUCCUGGAAAGAGUUUUCUCUUCUUUGUUACUUCAUCAGACGACCCUGGAAUCAGUUCAACUGGAGAUAGGGUUCAAAUGAAGGUAAAGAGUAGCCGUUCUUGCUACUUCCUCGGUGCAUCAUUUGUGAUCCUUGAAAAUUUGAGCGAGAUAUUCAAUUUCGCACUUAUCUGUACUCUAAACCGCAUCAGGUCUCCAAGGUGAAAAGCCUCUAGUCAAUUAGAACAAGGUAGCACAAGGGAAGUCGGCAAAAUCGAUCGGCAACUUCGGGAUAACGAUUGGCUCUAAGUGCUAGGGUGUUCGGGCUUGAUGAUAAAGCAGUAGACUUGCUAUUGGAGCUGAGCUUUCGGAUGCAGCAAUGUGUCUGAUCGUUCGGACUAGUGGCUUGUCUUGCUGUGGAAUCGUUUUGCUACGGUAUGCGGUUCGCUUGCGGGUCGUAUUACUUCGGACAUCGUUUAAUAGCAAACUUAGAACUCGCUGCGUCUAGGGGAAUCCGACUGUCUAAUUAAAACAGAGCUUUGCGAUUGGCCGGAAAACUUGGUGUUGACGCAAAGUGAUUUCUGCCCAGUGCUCUGAAUGUUAACGUGAAGAAAUUCAAAUAAGCGCGGGUAAACGGCGGGAGUAACUAUGACUCUCUUCUGGUAGCCAAAUGCCUCGUCAUCUAAUUAGUGACGCGCAUGAAUGGAUUAACGAGAUUCCCACUGUCCCUGUCUACUAUCUAGCGAAACCACAGCCAAGGGAACGGGCUUGGACUUCAAUGCGGGGAAAGAAGACCCUGUUGAGCUUGACUCUAAUCUGUCUUCGUAAAGAGACUUGAAAAGUGUAGCGUAGAUGGGAGUGGCAACACGUCAAUGAAACACCAUUAUUUUCAUUGUUUCUUUACUUACUUGGUUAUACAGAGAUUGGAUUUUACAUCCAGUGUUUGAGUGACAAACGUCGAUACUUGUAUCAACGUGAUCUGCUUCAAGGAAAGAGACAGGUGGGGAGUUUGGCUGGGGCGGUACAUCUAUCAAAUGUUAACGUAGGUGUCCAAAAGUUGACUCAGUGCGGACAGAAACCACACAUUGAGUAAAAGGGCAUAAGUCAGCUUGAUUUAGAUUUUCAGUACGAAUACAGACGGAGAAAUCCGGGCCUAUCGAUCCUUUUGAUUUAACGAGUUUUUUGCAAGAGGUGACAGAAAAGUUACCACAGGGAUAACUGGCUUGUGGCGGCCAAGCGUUCAUAGCGACGUCGCUUUUUGAUCCUUCGAUGUC